UCGACUUUAGCGCAGUUGGUAGAGCGGAGGACCGUAGUUGGAGUACAAAUCUGAGCUGAAAUCCUUAGGUCGCUGGUUUGAAUCCGGCAGGUCGGA
rnacentral:tRNA from 1 species